UAGUCUCGCACAGAUGCAUAUCAAUAAGCGGAGGAAAAGAAACUAACAAGGAUUCCCCUAGUAACGGCGAGUGAAGCGGGAAGAGCUCAAAUUUGAAAUCUUAAAGGGUUUCCCUUUACGAAUUGUAGUUUAAAGAAGUGUUUUCUGUUGAGGUUUUGGUAAAAGUUCUUUGGAAUAGGACAUCAUAGAGGGUGAGAAUCCCGUAUUUGACCUUUACUUUCAACUUUGUGAUACACUUUCAAAGAGUCGGAUUGUUUGGGAAUGCAGUCCAAAAUGGGUGGUAAAUUUCAUCUAAAGCUAAAUAUUGGCGAGAGACCGAUAGCGAACAAGUACCGUGAGGGAAAGAUGAAAAGAACUUUGAAAAGAGAGUUAAACAGUACGUGAAAUUGUCAAAAGGGAAGCGUUUGACACCAGUGUUGUUUUUCUGAAAAUCAAUUAAAGAACUGUUUAUGCUAAGUUGUUUAGACUUUAUCAGCUAUCUGUUUAGUUUUGAGCUUUUCUUUAAUGCACUUUUCAGUUAACAAGUCAACAUCAAUUUCUUUUGCUGUAAAAAAGCUUGAGGAAGGUGGCUUGAGAUUCGUCUUAAGUGUUUAUAGCCUCUUGCCUAUGCAGUCGGAGAGAUUGAGGUCUGCAGCGUAGAUCCUUCGGGGCUAAAUGCAUUUGUGCUAAGUUAUAGCAUUUUAUAGACAACUUGUUGACUAUGAUUUGUCUUGUAGCUUACUCGCUUAUGUUAUUUUACCUACGCUUAGGAUGUUGACAGCAGUAUAGACUGU
rnacentral:rRNA from 1 species